rnacentral:rRNA from 1 species
GAGGAACGCUAGCGGCAGGCUUAAUACAUGCAAGUCGAGGGACAGCACAGGUAGCAAUAAUGGGUGGUAACCGGCAAACGGGUGCGGAACACGUACACAACCUUCCUUUAAGUGGGGGAUAGCGCAGAGAAAUUUGGCUUAAUACCCCGUAAUAUAGUUGAAUGGCAUCAUUUGAUUAUUAUAGCUACGGCGCUUAAUGAUGGGUGUUCGGCUGAUUAGAUAGUUGGCGGGGUAACGGCCCCCCAAGUCUACGAUCAGUAGCUGAUGUGAGAGCAUGAUCAGCCACACGGGCACUUAGACACGGGCCCGACUCCUACGGGAGGCAGCAGUAGGGAAUAUUGGUCAAUGGACGCAAGUCUGAACCAGCCAUGCCGCGUGAAGGAUUAAGGUCCUCUGGAUUGUAAACUUCUUUUAUUUGGGACGAAAAAGGGCCUUUCUAGGUCAACUGACGGUACCAGAUGAAUAAGCACCGGCUAACUCCGUGCCAGCCGCCGCCGUAAGAC